UGGAAUUCGCCGGCUUCUUGUCCUUCUAAUCCCCUUCGGAUAUUUUCACUCUCUAUUUCUACUGGUUUGGUUUUAUCAAUUACUUGUUCCAAUGCUGCUAUAUCUAUUUGCCAAGAUUUCGAAUACUUUCUUGAUGUAACGAAUUGUUCAGUGAAUGUUGAAAAGUAUAAGACAUUAUUGUACAAUUCUGAGGUAAGAAAGGAUAAACAAACCGGUAGUCUAUAUAUGAUUGGUUUUUUUGCAUAGUUAUUAUCUCU
rnacentral:lncRNA from 1 species